GCCUUGGUGGUUCAGUGGUAGAAUUCUCACCUUUGAUGUGAGAGGCCUGAGUUCGAUGCCUAGCCAAUGCA
rnacentral:tRNA from 1 species